UGGGGAAUAUUGCACAAUGGGGGGAACCCGUGAUGCAGCAACGCCGCGUGAGUGAAGGAGCGUUUCGGCGCGUAAAGCUCUGUCAGCGGGGAAGAAGAAAGACGGUACCCGACCAAGAAGCCCCGGCUAACUACGUGCC
rnacentral:rRNA from 1 species